ensembl:lincRNA
GGGCACCCCGCUGCCCGCCGCCUCCGCCGAGCCGAGCGGCGGUGGCUGCGGAAGCGACUGGGGCUGCGCGGACACCAGCGCCCCGGAGCCCGCGAGGAGCCUGGGGGCCCCGGGCUGGAGGAAGAGCCGAGCACCGGCGCAGCCUGCGGGACUGGCACUCACCGGGCCUCUCAACCCCCAGACCUUGCAACUGCAGUUGGAGCUGGAGGAGGAAGAGGAGGAAGCUGGGGAUCGAAAAGAGGGAGGGGAUGAACAGCAGGAGGCGCCCCCCGGGGAGGAGCUGGAGCCCAGGACCCGCGCGGGGGCCGCCGACGGACUGGUCCUGGACGUGCUGGGUCAGCGGCGCCCGCCCCUCUCCCAGAGACAAGUCUUUUGCUCCGUCUACUGCGUGGAGAGCGACCUGCCCGAGGCCCCCGCCUCGGAGCAGCUCUCGCCGCCCGCGUCGCCACCUGGGGCUCCGCCAGUGCUGAAUCCUCCCAGCACCCGCUCUUCCUUCCCCAGCCCCCGACUGUCCCUCCCAACGGAUUCCCUCUCCCCCGACGGCGGCAGCAUCGAGCUGGAGUUCUACCUGGCGCCUGAGCCGUUCUCCAUGCCCAGCCUGUUGGGAGCUCCACCCUACUCUGGCCUGGGCGGUGUAGGGGAUCCCUAUGCGCCCCUCAUGGUGCUGAUGUGCCGGGUGUGCCUGGAAGACAAGCCCAUCAAGCCCCUGCCUUGCUGCAAGAAGGCCGUGUGCGAGGAGUGCCUCAAAGUCUACCUGAGCGCCCAGGUGCGUUGCUGGCACUUGAGCAAAGAUAAAGAGUAAGAGAAUCAAAGCUGUUGUAUAAUUAGUUCUCUUCUCAUCCACACCCAUAAACCAGUUCAAGAAAGGGAUGAAGGUAAAGUACAUAGAUGAAGAAGCCACAUUUAUUUGUGCUCCAGGAGCCCUUGUAAUCUCUUUAAAACAUCUCCUGUGAAGCCCUGUCACAGACAUAGAGCCUGGAAGAGUAGAUUUUUUCACUUUCCUCGAGUAUAAGUGAUUUUCUUUCAGAUGAUGCCAUCUCUUUCUAGAAAGAAUGUAAGAAGGCAGGAAAAAGAAAAAAGAAAAAAAAGAAAAACAGAGACUAUUUACCAUGGAGAGCUAUAUCCGUGUAAUCAUUUAUUAUGAUGGUAGGACGUUGGUGCCUGGCAGCUGACUACUCUAUUGCGUUAUAAUUAUUGGCUCUUUUUUCCUUCCUUUCUCUCCCUUUCUCCCUCCUGCCCUUCCUUCCUUUUCUUUCUAUUUUUUUAACCUCUGUUGUAUGAUCCCUCUGAAAACGUAGACAGAUAUGAAAGCUUUGCUCUCCUAACUAGUAUCAGAGAUAAAUUGCUGACAAGCUGCAUUCCAUCUCAAUGCACAUUUGUUAGGAGAACUUUCAGCAAAAACUAUUUAUGUCCUCUCAAUUUUAUUUCCAGUUAACCUGACCCAUGUUGUAUUACACAAUCUUUAAAAAUGUUCAGAUUCCCAUAUUGCUCCAGCUAUUUUAGACUAGUUUCAGAAAAUAGUUUUUUGGUUCGUGCCUGUCGUUUUCUGUUCCCUUUUGCUAAUGUGAAUUGAAGACAGCUUAGCCUUUUUUUUUUUUUUUUUUUUCUACUCAAUCUGAGGGUCAGACACGUCUUCAGGCAGCACAUUUGGCUUUCACAGAGAAAAGGGGAAGAGAAGACUGCAGUUGGCCAGCACCCUCAGGGUGUACUGCCUGUUCUCUCCGUGUGAUCCAUUUCAUGUAACUGAAAUGAACGUUUUCUUACAUUAUGCUUGUUCACUAUUUUGCUCUAAAGGAAUGAAGAUAGUGUUACUAAGGUGCAGACACUGGGCUGCUCAGUGUGACUGGUAAUUAUUUCCCCUUAAGAAUUGCCAGAGUAUAACAAUUGACCAUGUUUUUGUCUAUUUUAUUCUCGUUUAUUAGUGAUCAAGUAUGUUCAGUUUUAGUUUCAAUUGAUUCUUCUCAUUAUAAUGUGCUUUUUAGGUGUAAUGCAUGAAGU